CCACUUUCAACACUUUUAUCCAAACACUUAACUACUUAUUUUUAAAAUAAGUUACUUUCAAAAAUAUUUUUAAAUUUUUUCUUUUCAGCCCUUUUUUUUUAAGCUUAUCCAAACGGCCUCUAUAAUUCUUCUCACGCUUCCCCAUUUUUCCCAUCAAAACCCUGUGAACACUAGCUCAAAAUAAAUAAUUCAGGAUCAUUUGAGGGCUAUCUUAGCCAAAUCCGUCAUUGUACGAACUCAAACAAUGACUUUUCACCCAUUUCAAUUUUUGAUUUUAUUCUCUCAAUUCUGUAUUAAUCUCAGCUAUCAAGGAGUUUCCUAGCUAUUUCCUUUUGAAAUUUUUCCCACAUCAGUUCUAACGCAAUUUGCAAAUUCUACUUUAUCCCAUAUCGGUGGAAUGCACAAACAUCAUCCGAUUUCACACCAUAUAAACCACACUACUCCUUUGUUAAAAGGCAAAAACCCUAAUAGAAGGAAUUUCGCUCGAGAAGACAAAGUUUUUUCAACCCCAAACGAGAUAGAAUUCCUUUUACUCGGAUAGAAUUUUGGACUUUAGUCCCCAGCCAUAGCGUUGUGAAAAUUCUUGCUCAAGUUCCAUUUUUUGCUUUUCUUGCAUCAAGGAUAGUGGUAGAGUUGUCAUCUAUUUGUCAUCCCCGUUUAUUGCCCCAAUAAAGGUAAUUCCCCUCUUCUCCUUUAUUUCUCGACGUUGGUUUCUUUCUUUCAAUUUGUUUUUAUUUGUUAGAUUAGCUUGUUUAUUGAAUUCUGUAUUUAAGGGUUAUUAAUUAUGUAAAAUAACAGGUUAUUGAUCCUCACACAUUUUAUUGCCUAUAACCUACAAUUGAAGUUAGAUUAUUUUCCCCAUUUUGAUUUUGUUCUAUUGUUUCAAUUUUCAUAUGCAUCAUCUUGCGUAAGCUAGUUUGAAUUUUACGUGGUCCCUGAUGUCUGGAAUUAGCAUUUAAAUUUGGUUCCUCUAUUUAUUUGGCUUCAACACAUCCUUCUUUGGUUUGUAAUACCGACUGGAGGCUAUUGAGGUGAUGAGUUAGUCAUUCUUUGGGAUUACUUCUUCGUUCUUUCCAAAGAUAGAAUCACGGGAUGAAGUAUAGCUUAUAUCAUGGAUUAUAUACAUCUUGAGAAGUUCAUUUUCAGUUUGUGUAGCUAAAAGUCGAUAUUUUUAUAAGAUAAUUUAUUAGUUUUAAAUUUUCCUUACUUCUUUUUUGAGUUUUAAGAUAUGAUCCGACCCUUUUACCCUUCUAAAAAUUGUUUUUCAUUUCAAUAAUGCAAUUUCCACGUGGUCCUUCUAGAUAUAAGUCUUAAGCAUAAAAUUUUCAUUUGCUAUGUCUAAGCUCUUUUGUGUGUUUUAGAAUUCAAUAUAAGUUGGUGUAAUUCCUAUGAGUGUUUAAGCUUUGGUAUGUGUGCAGUUCUCUAAUAUGGUUUAGCUUUGAAUUAAAAAUCGAAUUGUUGCAUUAUUGUUAAAGUUUAAAUAGUAAAGAUUACUCUUCUGUUUUUAGUUCACUGGUUGGCAGUUUCUUAGUUUAAAUUAAAAGAUGGCUAUUUGAUAUGCUGUAGAGAGAAAUAUUUUAGAGCCCGAUUGUAUUGUUGAAUAACGUCUUUUGUUUCGGUUGAGGAAUUCAAGUCCUAUUUAGCUCAAUCUAGUUGCACUUCUUGCAGAUAACCUGACUUGAAGGUCACCUUUGGAAAAUUCACUUAGGUGCUAUUAACAUUUCAUUUUCCUACUGAUUUUCUGUAGCAACUUGCGAUUAUUUUUCCUUAUUGUUUGAGCCCAAACCCAUUUGUUUCAUUCCCUCUUUGCAUAAAGGUGUAAAAUUUAUUCCAGUUAUCCUCUUAUGUCAUUAUGUCUCAAUAUUGCCAUCUGAUUUUUGAGAAAGUUGAUAGACUAUGGUUUUGGUUUGUUAAAGCAAUACAAUAUAUUUGUCUUUGUUUCUUCCAUUUUCUUUCUGAUUUUUUCUAAGGAUAGAUCUUCAGAUCAGUGGGAUAUUCUUUGUUGCUAUUCAUAGGGAUUCACCGAUAAGUUUUAAGCUUUAGUUAUGACUGGAGUUUGCGAGGGCCUUUGGGCUGGUGGUGGUGAACUCGGGCUUCCCGAAGAAGGACGAGCACCUGAUCACCUUUCGAAGUGCGGUAGCCAGGACUCAGAUUGACUUUUUGUUGCUUAGGAAAGGGGAUAGGGCAUUGUGUAAGGACUGUAAAGUCAUUCCGAGUGAAAUCUUUCGACCCAGCAUAGGCUCUUGGUUAUGGAUUUGGGUAUAAAGAAGAAUAGAAAGAGGAGGAGUAAGGAGUGUAGACCUAGAAUUAAGUGGGGCGGCCUGACGCCAGUGAAUGCGUGGGAAAUAGGGGAGAGGUUGGCCGGAAUGGGGGUGUGGGAGUGUAGGGGGGACGUGGAUAGUAUGUGGGACAGGGCGGCAAGGUGCAUCAGGGAGAAUGCAAGUGAGGUGUUGGGUGUUUCUAGGGGCCGGGCCGGGCACCAUCGGGGGGAUUGGUGGUGGAAUGAAGAGGUGGAGAAGAAAGUGGGGACCAAGAAAGGGGCGUAUGCUAAGUUGGUGGAAAGUAAGGACGAAGAGGAGAAGCGGGUAAACAGGAAAGAGUACAAGCUAGCGAGGAAGGAGGCGAAGUCAGCAGUCACGGCAGCUAAGACGGCCGCUUUUGAGAGCUUGUAUGCAGGGUUACAGGAGAAAGGAGGGGAGAAAAAGUUGUUUAGACUCGCUAAGGCUAGGGAGAGGAAGGGUCGUGACCUCGAUCAGGUGAGGUGCAUUAAGGGGGAGGACGGUAGAGUGUUGGUGGAGGACGGCCACAUAAAGAAGAGAUGGCAGUCGUACUUUCAUAGGCUCUUGAAUGACGAGGGGGACAGAGCUAUUGUGUUAGGGGAACUGGAGCACUCAGGGGAGUGUCGGGAUUUUAGCUAUUGUAGACGUUUUAAGGUAGACGAGGUUAGACAGGCAGUCCGCAGGAUGCGAAGGGGUAGGGCGACGGGGCCGGAUGAGAUACCGGUGGAGUUUUGGAAGUUCGUUGGAGAGGCUGGUGUAAGGUGGUUGACUGCAUUGUUCAAUGAAAUUUUCAGGACAGCAAAGAUGCCCGAGGCGUGGAGGUGGAGUACCAUGAUCCCCCUCUAUAAGAAUAAGGGGGACAUUCAGUGUUGCAAUAACUAUAGGGGGAUUAAGUUACUGAGUCACUCUAUGAAGAUCUGGGAGAGAGUGGUCGAGGUGAGGCUGAGACGGAUAGUGUCUAUCUCGGAAAACCAGUUCGGAUUUAUGCCCGGCCGCUCGACGACGGAGGCAAUUCACCUGGUACGGCGGUUGGUGGAGCAAUAUAGGGAAAGGAAGAAGGAUUUGCACAUGGUGUUCAUCGACCUAGAAAAGGCGUACGACAAAGUCCCCAGGGAGGUGCUUUGGAGAUGCUUGGAGGUGAGUGGAGUACCGCAGGCAUAUAGCAGAGUAAUUAAGGAUAUGUAUGAGGGAGCGAAAACCCAGGUGAGGACGGCGGGAGGAGACUCAGAGCAUUUCACUGUCCUGACAGGAUUGCAUCAGGGAUCUACUCUUAGUCCCUUUUUGUUUGCGCUAGUAAUGGAUGUGUUAACGCGGCGUAUCCAAGGGGAGGUGCCGUGGUGUAUGCUUUUUGCAGACGAUGUAGUCCUGAUAGAUGAGACGCGAGGGGGUGUGAACGACAAAUUAGAGCUGUGGAGGCAAACUCUGGAGUCUAAAGGGUUCAGGGUGAGCAGAACCAAGACAGAGUAUGUGGAAUGUAAGUUUAAUGACGUAAGGCGAGAGAAUGAGGUAGUGGUGAGGCUAGAAGCGCAGGAGGUAAAGAAAAGGGAUAAGUUCAAGUACCUCGGGUCCGUGAUCCAGAGUAACGGUGAGAUUGACGAGGAUGUCUCGCACCGUAUCGGGGCGGGAUGGAUGAAGUGGAAACUUGCAUCGGGGGUGCUGUGUGAUAAGAAGGUGCCGCCCAAGCUUAAAGGUAAAUUCUAUAGGGUGGUAGUCCGUCCGGCCUUGCUGUAUGGAGCGGAGUGUUGGCCAGUUAAGAACUCCCACACCCAAAGAAUGAAGGUGGCAGAAAUGCGGAUGUUGCGCUGGAUGUGUGGACUGACCCGAAGGGAUAGAGCUCGGAAUGAGACUAUCCGGGAGAAGGUUGGGGUGACUUCAGUGGAGUGUAAGAUGCGGGAAGCACGAUUGAGAUGGUUCGGACACGUGAAGAGGAGGGGCAUGGAUGCCCCGGUCCGUAGGUGUGAGAGGCUAGCGUUGGAUGGUUUUAGACGGGGUUAGGAAGGUCUGGAGGGCGCGAAUUUCGGGAGAGGAUUAGGGCCGGUUUGGGUCGCUAGGGUAGGGAAUUACUUGGUGGGGGUUUUAUUCCUGUUAUGAUUCCGUCUUCCGUGUUCCAUGUUUUAUUACGAAUCUGUGUGCUUUCCUCUGCUUUUCUCUAUUUUAUAUUACUUAUGGGUGCCGUAUUUAUGUUAUGUAAUCUGCUUCUGUGCUUUACUAUGUGUUUGUGUGGUAUCUCGUGUCUUGAGCCGGGGGUCUAUCGGAAACAACCUUUCUACUUCAUCAGAGGUAGAGGUAUGGACUGCGUACAUCUUACCCCCCCCAGAUCCCACUAGGUGGGAAUACACUGGGUUUGUUGUUGUUGUUGUUGUUGUUGUAGACAUUAAUUGUUGCGUUUGAAAUAUGAUUUUGCUCGGUGAAGGAUUAGGUUAUAAAAACACUCUUUUGUGUUGUCAUUUUGAUUUCUAAAAUAUGUGUUUGAAUUUUAAGUUUGAUUUUAAUCAAGAGAAAGAAACCUAAAUUAUACUUUCGACCUAUUAUCCCACGAAACUUACUUAAAUCGUUGUAAAUACACUAUUUUGACCCUCUGCGUGUAUCAGUGACGGAGCCAGAAUUUUGGUUAAGGGUGUUCAUAUUUUUCCUUUGGCAAAGAACUGUUUAAAAAAAAAGGAAAAUAAAACACUGUUGCACCUGUUAAGGUUCGAACCCGGAUUGUUGAUGUGGAAAUGCACACUCUUGACCACUGGACUAUGCUUCUCAAGCUUGUCAAGGGUGUGUAACAACAUGUAUAUAACCAUAAAUAUCUAUAUUUAACCUAUAUAUUCGAAUUUUUUUUUCGACAAAGGGUGUUCAUCUGAUCACCCUUCGUCGGCUGUGGCUCUGCCACUGGCGUGUAUACACGAGCUUGUUGUGCGUGAAAGACUCAAAAUUGACUUUAUUUAUCAAUUAAAAGCUGUCACGUGUAAAUAAUUUUAUUUAUAAUUUUAUCUUUAAAAAACAAAUUAAUAUUUAUUUUCUUUUAAAAAAUAAUAUUUACUUUUUNNNNNNNNNNNNNNNNNNNNNNNNNNNNNNNNNNNNNNNNNNNNNNNNNNNNNNNNNNNNNNNNNNNNNNNNNNNNNNNNNNNNNNNNNNNNNNNNNNNNNNNNNNNNNAAGUUUUUUUUUUUCAAAUAAUCAUUUAUGUAUUUUAUCUAUUUUUAUGAAGAAUCAUAAAACUUUAUUAAAUGGAGUUUCAAUCUCAUGGUGAUGGUGACUGUGUAUCAAUGGAGCUGCUGGAUGGAGAUGGAGGAUCUCCAAAGAAAAUUAUUCUUUUGACAAAAAAAUCAAAAGAAUCAGAAAGUUAAUCAAAUCAAUUAAUAGAUUACCAAAAAACAACUUACUUAUAUUAGGUGUUUAUACCAACUAAUCUAAUUUCAUAUGAAUAUAUAGAAUAUAAACAGGUGGUGGAGUUUUAAUGGAGCUUUAAUGGAUUAAUGGAGCUGGACGGGGUGGGGUGGGAAUAUAAAAUUAAAUGUAUUUAACACGUGACAACAUUUGAUUGAUGCAUGCAUUCACUCUUUCUUGUGACAGGAAUUCAACGAAAAAUGGUGUAUUUGUAACGAUUUAAGUAAGAUUCGUGGGUUAAUAGGUCGGAAGUAUAGUUUAGGUGUCUUUUUGAAAAAGUUGGUCAAUAUCGGGGGAUUUUUUGUAUUUACUCUUUAAUCAAGAUUCUAAUCUUUCUUCCCUUUUCUCUUACUAAAAAUUACACAAAUACACAACUUAUAUUUUCAAUAUUACAAAAAAUCUCAACUCCCUAAAUAUAUUACAAAAAUCCCAUCAUAUACAUAGAAUGCUAUGUAUAGUUGGUUAUGUUAUGUAUAUUAAUAAGGAGAGAGUAAAGUAAUUAAAAAAAUGGGAGAGAGUAAUUACUUCAAAAAGUGUUGGUAUUUAUGUUAUUUAUACUUUGUCUUAUACAUGAACUCUCUCAAAUCGACUCCAUUGGACCUCCCGUUCCCUUUGCUUCUAAUCUAUUUUGAGGCGGCCUCAACCAAUCCUUUAUCAAGCAUAAAAAAGGAAGCUAAUAUAUGUCCAAAGUCCUCAAAGUUCAGCUGUGAUGGAGCAAGGAAACGGGCUCAGAUGAUUUGUCCCCGUAGCAGCAACCCAGGGAAAGAGCCAAACUUGAGUUCAAUUUUAUUCCUCUCUUCACAUAUUUAUUUGGUUACUUAUUUGUUGAAAUCCUACAUACUUUGUUUAAACUUAGGUGAAUCCUCACAGCGGUGUACAGUUUUGAUUUACAAUGGAAUCUUUCUAAUUGUUCGUAUGCUCUUUGAAACUCCACUUAGUCAAAUUUAGAUCAAAGACUGGCUUGAGGAGUUUUAUGUCCUAUAAUUGUUAUUAAAUGUUGCACGCUCACAUGCAAGUGUACGUGGCCUCACCAAGUAAUAUAGUGGCCUUUUAAAAGCCAAGUGUCGAUCCCUCAUAGACUUGUGUCGACAACUAUCCAAAUCUGGUUCGCUAUUGCUAUCAAUUCAGGGCAAACGUAGCCACAAGAAUUUGAAAGUUAUAAGUAAUCGUAAACUAAAGAAUGCGGUAAAUUAAAGUUCUUGGACAAUUAAUGGGGAGAAAAUCAAGUUUAAGGUUCUGCAAACAAUCAUAUUAUGCUAUCAAACUUCAUUGGUUAUGUUACUUAUCACGGGGUGGAUAUUAUGACUAUGGUCUUUCGAGCCUCUAAUCACCUAUCUAGCUUAGCUUCACAACUACAUUGUUAAUUGGGAUGUGGAAACUAAGUUUAAUGCAUUUAUAUUUCAUCCCGUAAAUGAAUAAAAUAUGGCACUUAGGUAUAUUCCUAUCCUAAAUGCAAAUUGUAACUUCAUUUUGUAGAAAAUUACAAUCCUAUUCUAUUUAUCCCCCCACGUACUGUCCUCUUGUUCCUUCUUCCGGGUUCACAAUAUGACUAUGGAUGUAUUAUAAGAGUAGAUAAUUCUUAAAAUAGUGAUAAAAAAUGAUAAAUAAACAACCAAAUAUUUUAAACAAUCAAAACUAAGUCAAUUCAUAACAAGAGUAAUCAUGUUCUUGGUCUUAACCCUGGAAAAAGGUGUUUAGCUGCUCAUGGACAUAACUGUAAUUGCAAUGAUUGAAUACAUGUUAAAAUCCACAAACAAAACAAAUUAAUGGAAUAUAAACCAUAAUUUAAGUGUUCUCCAGCAUCACUCAAAGUUUCAAGGUCGUCUAAGGUGUGAAACAUAAUGUUUAAGGGUCCUUUUUAUAGUAAGACCAAAGCUGUCGAUUUUGACACACCAACGUACCAUGAACUUUUUCGCAGUUCCUAGGGUCCUAACAUACCAUUAUCGUGGUUUCACACUAUAAUUGGUCAUUUAGUAUGCCUCCAAGGUAGUGGAAUGGACCCUAACACGGUGGCUAUGGUCCGUGGCACGCCAUGACUCGAAAACGUUCGUUUUUGGUCAAAUCUUGUCCUAUGUGUUUGACCAUUCAUUCCAAUCUGUGUGGUAUUGUUUACACUUGAUUUACAGCUUGUGUGUCAAGUAUCAUCAUUAUAAACUAAAAAAUAAUCCUAUAGCAUAGAAUACCGCGUGGUAAAAAGCUCAAAACAACAUAAAAUCCAAGACGGUGAACUAGUAACUUAAGCUAAGAACUAGUUUUGUCCUUUUGAUCUUUAACUUAGUGUUUUGUCUCUUGGCUUGCUUAAAUUGAACCUUAAACACUAUAAUAAAGUUAUUCCAUGAAUAAUUACACAAACAUGUCCUUAGGAACUUAUUACACACACUAUAAUCCAUCGAGAUCAACUGGAACAACACAUAGCUCAAGCUAGUAACACUAGUUUUCUCGUCUAAAUUCUAAAUGACCAAAUUGAUUUCAAACAUGUUUGAAACACACCUUAAAAAUUAUAAUAAAGUUUUUUAACACUUAGAUGCUCAAUUCUAUGAUUAACAACACAUUAAGCACAUAAAAAGUCCUCAAAAUAAGGCUAAAUAAGCCCAGAUAACAACACUGAGGUGCAUAAUCCACCUCAGAUCAUCACCCCACACUUAAAGCCUUGUUCGUCAUCGAACAAAUUCUUACUCUAAGAAUAAUAAUCAGAGGGGAAUUUACUCUAAGAAUAAUAAUCAGAGGGGAAUUUGAACUUCUAAAAUAAGCAAGACACUCAAGCUAGCACUGCAAUGACUACCUAAAAUGCAAGUUUUUACUCUAUGCAUGUUAUACACAAUUGAAAGCUCAAGAAUACUAUUCCAAAAUAUCCUAGCCUCAAAAAUUGACUCACCAAGGUGGAAAACUCAUAAAUGUUGCCCAAUAAAAGAGAUCAUGCAAAUCACCCAACUAUCAUCAAAUAUGUGCCCUCACCACAAGAGAGUUACCCAUGCUCACUCACAUAGAUGCAGUUUAUCACAAAUGGGUAUAAGAAUCAAAUUACGCUCACUCUCAGAACGAAUUCACAAGUUACACAAGAUAAACCAUAGGCUUGCCCUUAGUGUAGUACUCCACUAAUAUCCGAAUAUUAAGGAUCAAAAUCAAAUAGGUCUUUAUGGCUUGUAAUGUAAGCUAAGGGAUGGGUAGAAACUUCUGGUCAGUAAUAGUGACUAUCUUUCCUAAGUGCUUUAACACAUCACACUUUUCAUUCAAUCACCUCUAACAACCAUACUUCCAUCUUAUCUACCUUCACACAUAUCUUUGGCUCGCCCCAUCUUAUUUAGCUAAUUCACCAAUAAUGGGGUGGGAGUAUUAUCCAUGCACACAUUAUUUAAUUUGAACAAUCUUUAUCCUUUCCAUUACACAACUCCCAACCACAACACAUAUUAAUUGUCAACACCAAUAGCUAUUCUUUGGGGCUUCAGUUUAACUUUUCUCCUUUCUAUUUUUUUUCCUUAGGAGCUUUGGAUAAAAUUAUGGUCAAUCAAAGAAAGGGAUACAGGCUGCAUAUGAGGCUGCCAAAGAAAACAAGCUAAAGGCUCAAUGGGGAUAACUAGGAUUAUGCACAAUGGUAGGUCAAAAGGGGUAUAAAACAUGGCUAUCAAAGAAAUGCCUAUAUCAUAUCCUACACCCACACUCUUUAUUUAUCUUUGCACACAUACCAGGUAAGUUUUAGACAUCUCAUGCAACAAAGAAUAUACAAAAACCUCACACAUGACACAUGCCCAACUCAACUAGGAUCACAUAGACUCUAAACCAAAUAAUAGUAUGAAUUCAACAUUAAGACAACAACAUUCAAGAAUCAUAAACUAUAGCCUAGGCGUCUCAAAAGUAAUAAUUCACACAAUCAACAUGCUCUUAUAUACAAAAUGGCUUGCAUCAUGCAAUCACACAUAGCACCAACAAGAACAUCUCACUUAUCUGAAAUAAAAAAAUUCAAAUUUACUCCUAAAAAAAGAUAAAAGUUAUUGGGUUCAAGAGGCGACCCAUGGAAAAGAAACGAAAAGAACAAUCACGGGGUGGGUGAAGUGUGCACCUACUAGACUGACCCAAAUAAGUAAAGCUAAAAAUAGAAAAUCUUUUUGUAAUUUUUUAAAAUUUACCCAAAAACUAGAAAAACAACUUGAACUCAAGACCUUAUAACAUCACAUCACCCGAAAUAAUGAGAAUUUUCCCAACCCACACUUAAAAAUUUACUUUGUCCCUAAAGUAUACUUAAAAGUAGAGAUAUAAAUACUCUUUGAGGCCUUUAGGCCUAACUAGUAGCAUCUUCAUACAUCACGAGGGUUCGGGGACCUUAUAGUUAGUCUUCGCCAUGCUCUUUAGCUUAGAUUUUCAGUACUCAGACUUCCCAUCAACCUGUGACUCGACAAAAUAAAAACUACAUGAAGUAAAAACUAAAAUAUUGAAAAAAUAAAUACCUACCUUAACUUGGGUUGUCUCCCAAGCAGCAUAUGAUUUAGUAUCGCGGCAUGACCUAUAUCAACUUUUUCCUCCACCUUAAGAAUAUGAAUUUCACCCCAACCUCGCAUACAUCUAUAUGCUUUGCUCAUAGGAUGGUGGUACAAAAAUGAAAGAACCAAGUAAAGAAUGAUACAUGGUAAAGCACUCGGUCCUGAAGUGAGGCAUAUUUUUGUGUUGCUUGUCUGGUGCAAAUUUAAGAAUAUAGGAUUCUUGUUCAUUAUCUUCACACUCAUUCACUAUUUUAGAUGACUCUAAAGACGUGUCAUUAUCUAAACAUAAUAUAGAGAAGUGAUUUGAAUGAGACCCAACCAAUCCCACUUUAAAAUUUUCACCAUCCACAACAUACUUACUCUUAUUCAUCUUUCCAAUAUCACUCUCAAGAUAAAGAUGACAGUUGAAUGGCUGAAAUUCUUGUGUAUGCUCUAUGUAUAGGCUAUUAUCAACCUCAUCUAGUGAAAGUCCCAACCAUUCGCUUCCCAAAAAAUUUGGACAAAUACUCUCCUGGUAAGGUCAUCCACAAAAACAACAAAAAUAAUCAUCAUUCGACCACCAUCUAUCCAAGGCUGACAUAUCAAUAAGUGUGAAAAUAAAGUAAAAAAAAACUUAAAAGAAAAAAAUACUAAACUCUGUACAACUUAAUAUAGCUAACCUAAAAAUAAGAUAGUUGCCUAUUUAUAAGUCCCCCACAAUGGUGCCAAAAAUUUAUUGCGUCCAAGCACACACACAAGUGUACAUGGUCUCACCAAGUAAUAUAGUUUCCUUUUACAAGCCAAGUAUCGAUCCCUCAAAGACUUGUGUUACAACUAUCUAAAUCUAGUUCACUAUUAUGAUCAAUUCAGUGCAAAUGUAGUCACAAGAAUUUAAAAGUUAUAAGUAACAUUAAACUAAUCAAUGUGGUAACUUAAAGUUCUUGGACAAUAAAUGGGGAGAAAACCAGGGUUAAGGCUCUGCAAAUAAUCAUACUAUGCUAUUGAACUUCGUUGGUUAGGUUACUUAUCUUGGUUGUUGAUUCACAGGGUUGAUAUUAUGACUAUGGUCUUUCGAGCCUCUAAUCACCUAUCUAGCUUAGCCGCACAACUACAUUGUUGAGUGGGGAUGUGACAACUAAGUUAAAUGUAUUUAUAUUUCAUCCCGUAAGGUCACUUAGGUAUAUUCCUAUCUUAAAUGCAAAUUAUAGCUUCAUUUUGUAGAAGAUUACAAUCCUAUGCUAUUUAUCUCCACGCACUAUCCUCUUGUUCCUCUUUUCGGGCUCACAAGAUGACUAAGGAUGUAGUCUAAGGGUAGCUGUAACACCCAAAAUUUUCAACCUAGAAUUUGAAUCGUUAUUCCUACGUGUAUAAACUUGAGUCCAAUUAUUUCAAUAUAAAUAUAAGUGUAAGCACUUAGAGUAAAGUAGAGUUAAGAACUAGUGAUUUGAUCAAAUUUUGGAAUUUGAUUCUGCAAGGAUCAAUUUUGAACAUUUAUGACUUCUAAAAUAUAUUGAAUUUUGCGGCUCAAGACACAACAAAUUAAAUAUAAUUGAGUCCUCUUUCCAAUGCAUCCGAUUUCGCCUUAAUUUGAUAUCCAAGCGAAAAAUUAUGAGCAUUUUCGUGAGAAACUAGUGAGGGUCUGUGCUUUCAGCGUGUCAUGGAGGAUAAGCUCUGUGCCAUGUUGAUGCUUUAAAUUUGGGCAGAUUUUGGUUUUGUUUACUUGGGGUGAGGGGUAUUUGGGUCUUUUCACACACGAAAGACAUUUAAAAACUAUAUGAACCUAUUUUAAUCAGUUUUCACGAUAAAAAGACAAUUAUUCCACCAUCAAACUCAAAACCCCAACAAAAAAUAAGGGCUUCAUCAUACGUUCGUAUUCUAGGUUCUAAGUUCCUAAUUGCUCUCAAAUUUUGUGUGCGUAAGGAAUGUACCUCUUUUCCUUACUUCUAUUUUAUUAAUGGCAUGAAAAUUGGUUUAUUGUUCAUUAUUUUGAUGUUUAGUUUUGAACUAUUGGUUGAGGGUUUUAGAUAUAAAUUGUUUGAAUGUUUUUCCAUGAUUUUUAUUAAUUUAUUAUGCAUGAAUUGUUGGUUUGUACACUCAUUGGGGUGCAUGGAAAUAGUGAAUGAAUUUAGGGGUACAAUGGAUUCCCCAAAUAAUUGGUUUUUGUAUGAAAAUUGAUAAUGACCUUGACCCACUUGCAUAAUUGUUUUUGGAAUAUAAAUUAUCGUUUGGUUUGGCUAUUUUCUUUGAAACUAAUUCAUUGUAUAAAUGGUAAAAUGGUUUAGUAUGGAUUUGAAAACUUUGUGGGGUAUAAUGGAAUCCUCCAAGUAGAAUUUUUUAAUAAUGAAGUUUGGAGUACGAGGUAUCCUAAAGGAUUGGAUAAUGACAUUACUUGCAAGCUAUAGUCGGUUUGAUACCACUUAUUGAUGCCUUAAAGGUUGAGUCCUUAAAAAAUUGGUUAAAUUAUGUGCUAAAGGUUUUAAUAUGGGCUUAAAGGAGGUUGUGUAGCAAGGUCGUGAAGGUGGAUGUCCCGGGGGGCUAAUACUGGAAACUCACAUUUGCCGAUAUGAUCUUGAUGACCAUGAUCUAUUUUGGGACUGCUAGCUGCCUUGAUGGCUUUAAAUUUCUCGAGUUUUCUUUGAUUCAUGCGGCUAACAUGCAUAGGGCCCUUUCAGCAAGGGGAGCUGAACCCAUAUAGACCGUGGAUACCAGUUUAGGAUGGUCAAGCUACGCAAUCUAGGUUAUGGUUUUAAAAGUUCAUGAUAAGCCUUGUUUCCUAUCCUGGCAUAUUAUAUUUAUAUAUAUGUAUAUACAUAUGAUUAUGUGUAUUGGUUUUUGGAUAAUUUGUAAACUGUUGAACAUGAAAUUAUAUUAUCCCUGAGUUACAUGCUAGUGCUUAUCCCACUAACCAUCUCUGGAUGAUAUAUCCCCACGUAAUGCAGAUAUAGGAAAUAAUUCUACUUUUUUUACACAGUACCAAGGUGAUCGUGGGAUAGCUCGUGAGUCAUAUUGAAGUAGUGAACUUACAUACUUCAGAAGGACUCAUUUCAUGAUUAGGGACUCUUUAUAAUAUUGGUUCUUCCCAUUGGUAUUAUUGACUCUAAUGUCUAAAAAGCCUCUAAAACUGACUGACUGAAUAUGAGUUGAUGGGACAAGUCCCCAACUAACUCUGCUAACUACUAAAAUAGAGAUAUAAAGUAAAAUAAUUUGUCCUCGAAUGAUGAGGACUCACCACUAUUACUGUACUACUGAUAACCUGAGAAGUAAAGGCUAAGCGUGGUUCGGGAACUGAGCUUCAGCACCUAUGAUAUAAUACAUCAUAGCGCAAAUGAAAGAUAUGCAAUCAAUACUUUGAAUGUACUGGUAUACUAAAUGAGGUAAGCUGAUAUGCAUAGUUUUAUGAACAAAACUAAUAAUUAAAUGAAUAUACAUGUAAAACAUGGAGUACUGAGUAGAGAACAUAGAAUCUAUAGAUACGGAAAAUAUGGAGAAUAUGUAAAUACCAAGUAUGCAUAACAGUUUAUAAAUACUGAAGAUAUGUGAACAUCUGUAGACACUGGGGAUGUAUGACCAAGCAUAUAACAUGGACUGAGUAAAAUCUAUAAACUAAAAUACUGACAAAAUAUUGAUAUCUAUAUGCUUUGGUCAAACAACUCUAAGACUGUAUAACUGAACUGGGACUGUAACUAAGACUGCAUCUUAGACUGUAGGAGGUAUCACCUAACCGAUAUUCCUUAAUUUGAGCUAAUCCGGGUCCAACCUUCAACUCUAGUUGAAAGGGUGUUAAUACCGUGCCAUGGGUACUAACGAUGACUGUGUGGAUGCACUAAACUGAUAUAAUGUCCAAAGGACUAAGGGUGUCAAGCCUGAACUGGCGGGUGACCCUGCGUGAUAGUCAAGCCUAAUCUGAUAGGUGACUUCUCAUAUUCUACGCUGGCUACAUAGUUCUGGAGUAUAGGGACUGCUACUAACGACUCUGCCUAUCUGACGGGGAAACCACCAUCCUUACACUCGCUCGGUGCUAAAUCCUACUCCCAACUGAAAGACACUGAAAUACUAGAUUGUUCUUAGUUUAACUGACUGAUAUCUGACUAUUCUGAUAAUGCUUAUAGUAUGUUCUGAGGACUAUUCUGUAAUGUAUUGAGACUAGACUAAGUAAACAUCUAUUGAUUUUGGGUAUUCAAUACCCCCAGGACUCAAGACAAUAAUAGUAAAAUGACACUAAAUCUUGAAGGAUAAAACAUGAAGGCUUUUAUUUAAAUCAAUCACUCUUGUAGGCAUUUUAUCAAACACUUGUAUUUCAGUGUUUAAAAAAAUCAUAGGAAUAUCAUGAAACUUAUAAAAAGAGCAUGAAUUCAACAUAAUAGUACUAAAUCAUGGUUUAUUUCAAUAAAUAAUAAUAUUAAAACAUGGAGAGUUGAAUAGUAAUGAUAAUUUUAUGGUAACAUUGUAUAAAAUCAAUAGUGCAUGGAGAUUCAUGGAUGAAAUCAUAAUUUAAAACAUAAUAACUUGAAAAGAUUAUAACUUGGUGAUUAAAAUGAAUUACUUGGGCUCCAUGGAUGAAAGGAAUCCAUGGAUGAACAUCUAACAUACCUUGGAUAAUGAAUUUCUUGAAGUUCUGGGUGAGUUCCAGAGGAUUGGUCUUGAAUUUGAGAGCUAGGGUUUCUUGUUCUUGUAAAAGAGGAUCUUUACUUUAAGAGGAAGUUGAAUAAUGAAUGAUUCUUUAGGUUAAUUGGGGCUAAAUUUCAUGUUUUAGGAAAAGUUUAGGGCUUAGGAAAAAGACCCAAAAUACACUUUAACAGAUUUAAAAUGUAAGCUGAAAACUGACCAUCCAGAUUUUGGCCUUGGCGCGAUGCACCACUAUCGCUCCAAGCCACUGAAAAUGGACAAUUGGGACCUGGACGAACAGCACGAUGUGGAUCUAUCGCGGUAAGCCUUUGGAAUUCCAAUUUGGUCACCUCUGCGAUGCUCUAACAUCGUGGAGGCCCACUGGAAAUUACCAAACAGAAAAUUAGCCUGCUUAGCGACGUACUAUGAUCACGGAGUCAUACUGGAAAUUGACAAUUGUCAUUUGAGAUUUCUCCGCAAUGCGGUCUAACUACUGAAACUUAAAAUCAUCAUAACUUCUUACUCGAUUAUCAGAUUUUGACAAAUUUUGUAUCGUUGGAAAGCUAAUUGAAUUUCCUAUGCAAUGGCAAGCUCUAAACUGAAAAAUAAUGUGUGUUUCAAAAAUUUUAUAUACAAAUACUCAUGUAUUGACACUUAGAUUAUCUAGGAAAAUACGGGGUGUUCAUGACCAUUUCCUACUAAUUUUAUCGUAAGUUUUUAGCCUAAAUCCUCUAUUUAAAUCUUGUUUUCCCAUUUUUUACUUAUCUUUCGGGACAAAUUGGAGCCUCGAUUUAUAUCCUAUUUGUUCUCAAAUUUUGAGCAUACAUUUCUUUUCCUUUGGGGGACUUUGUGAUGGAUUCAAUUUUGAGAUUACGUUAGUGGGCCUUACAGGCCUAUUUUUACCUAAUUUUGGGUCCAGAGUUUCAAUAGAAAUAUGUGUAUCAUUUUAAUCCUAUUGACAUUUAUAUUAUUAUUUUAAUAGUGAGAUAUUAUUUUGGGAUCAUGGAGCAAAGACGAGCGGUGCAUGGAAGGUUUGGGAGUACGAUUCGACAUUGAGGUAGGAUUCAGUCUACUUUUUUCUAUGAGAUGUUAUUAUGUAUAGAUUGAAUGAUAGGUAAGGAUUAUAGGAUAUGUUUAGGAUAGUAUACCUGACUUGACCUAUUUUGAAAAUUUGGAAUAGAAAUGUGACCCGAACCUUAGUUGAAAAUACUUGAUACAACCUUACAAUCCUAUUAUCCUUAUUUAUGGACUUGUUUAGGUAUUUAUUAACAUUACAGAUCUUUUAAAAUAGGAUAUACCAUAUAACUUAGUGAUUUGGGUGGCAUUUACCCAGUUAGAUAUGUAUAGUGAUUUUAUACACUUAGAUCAUAUUUUCUUGGUUAUGGUGCUAUUGUCAUGCUAGUUAUAUAUGUUAUUGGGCCUGAGGCCAUGGUUACGAUACCUAUUGAGCACCAGGUUAUUAUUUUAUCCCUUGUGAGGAUGUGGUUGUGUUUUACAGGCACUUAUGAUUGUAUUAUUUGGAUACUGUUGAUGGUACGCAUACUUUUAAGUGCAUUUGCAUUUACUUAGUGACAUGAUUCCAAUCAAAUCCUUUAUUUUACUUCUAUUUUCUAAAAAUGGACUUAUUCCAACUUUUUUGACAUAACCCAAACCCCGAGCCAUGUUUUAUGGGCACCCCAAGAUCACCUGAACCGAAGGCCAUCCCAAUAACCCAACCCAACCUCUCAUCAUAUAAUAGGAGUCGAAGGAACUCCAAUUCAUAAGGUAAUACUACGGGAAUAAUAUCAUAAGUAAAUAUUAGAUUCAAAAUACCUAACUCACACCCAAGUUAACAGUAUCUCACAAUACCUCUAUAUAAAAACAAAGUCAACAAAUGUAUAUGUCGGGAAAAGCCCCCGACAAUAGCCAAACCAAGUCUAAAGAUAAGAGACUAAGAGGUGCAUGUAUUUCGAAGUAAGGAAGAUCACCACUUCAAGUAAAUGCACGAACCACUUCAAAUUACUAAUCACUAGGCAGAAAAAGAAGAAGAUGUUCCAAAAAAACAUAGCAUUCGGAGACGGUUCGCGGUUGGAACACUAAGAUGUAACUCAAGGAUAAGUGAUAAAAUAUCAUCAUCAAUCAACAUCAAGUCAAUAUAUCAUAUUUCAUCUCAUUCACACACUAAUACAUACAUACAUAUAUGUAUCACACGCUAAUUAAGAUAUCAAGGCUCAUCAUCAUACUCAAACAUUCAUUCAUUAGACAUAAAGUGGGGGACUCCGACCCUUCCACUUAUAGGUUAAACAAUUCAUGUAAUGCAUAUGACUUUAACCACAUUCAAAUGCACUUAGACAAGGGACUUAAACCAUGCUUACUCAUUCAUUACCCAGGACUUUAACUGUAUACGCAAUCACUCAAAGAAGUGGCUCUAGCCAUACACAUAUCCAAUUGGACAUAGUACUUCAACCACAUGUCCACACAUUUGAUUGGACAUGGGACUUCAACCUCAUGCUCACACAUUAGGAAAAGGACUCUAAUAUCAUUCUACACUUUGAUUCUAACCUCAAGCUGUUCCAUUUAGUGAGGUUCUCUAACCUCAAGAUAUCUCUAUAAGUAAGGGACUUUAACCUCGAGAAAUAUCAUAGGGCAAGGGACCUCAACCUCAAGCCAUUCAUAAGGAAAUGGACUUCAACCUCAAGCCAUCACAUCUAUCAUUAGUUGACAUUUGGUAAUUUAACCCUUUGCCCAUGCAUCAACAUACAUUCAAUACAACAUUAAAGGACUAUAACCACUUUAGCCAAUUCAACACUAUACAUGACCACAUGGUCCUUAUGGGAGACUUCAUUGGUCAACCAUCUCAAUAGGCCAAUUCUUUCACUUAAUUAAAAAUACAAAGCAAGUUAUGGUUAUCAAGACCCUUACAAUAAUUCUAUGCCACAUUCUCACCAUACUUGGGUUCACCCAUAAUUUAAGUUCAUCUUUAUAUUUACGGACUUUACCUUUUCAUUAGCCAAUAACCAAGGUUAUAAAUUUAAUCACACAUAGUUCAUAAUUUCUUUAACACAUCAUUUAUAAUUAUCCAUGUUCAUUGGGCCAUUUCCCUAGUUCAAUACAUCAUUAACAUAUGACUAGACAACUCACUUAGACAUUUUCACAAAUACUUUGGGUGCAUACCUUCAAAAAGGCCAUUUCCAUGGUAUAUAUAUUAUCAAGAUUAGGAUUACUCAAGACCCUCAUGUUAAUCCACAUACAACAAUAACCUACACAUGUAAUUCAUCAUUAAUAUCAAAUAUAAACAUAAGUCUAAAUAAUAUUUAACAGCAUACAUCAUUAGGUACAAAACCCUUUUUAUUUUAUUUCAAAACCACUAUGUACACUUACUAAUCCAAGUGUGAAAUACAUGGUUUUAGAGAUAUUUAAAGAGGGGAAGAGAUACAUGCCCUAAACAAGAUGACAAACCAACAAUCUUGACUCUUCCUUGACACUAGAUGAACACCUCCAGACCUUAGCCUCCAAUCUUGCUCUAAGAAGCUUUUGUAGUGUUUAGAAGUGUUUGAGUCUUUUAAAUAAAGACUUAGGAGGAUACAAUGCCUUAUAUAGUGAGAGGGUUUAGGGUUUUAGGAAAGAAAAAUACCAAAAGGUCCUUAGUUAAAAAUUGAAAAGUUAAUUCAUACAGCGGUAUGACUCCCCUUACGGUUCCUAUAGCAAUCUAUCCUUAGGGUAUAAUUGGUACCCUAACUCAUACCCUAGGCUUCUCCUAGGUCAACCACACUAUUUUGGGUAUAAGUGGUCACCCCUGAGUCAUAUCCAAAGGGUACGACUCAAUCCCUAACUCAUAUAAACCACUGGUAAUAUAAUAGUCCACUUAAGUUAGGUCCAUGCUCCAUAUGGUUGAGUAGUAUAUGACUCGUAUCCAUUGGUUACGAGUGAGAGAUGGUCAUGUCGUAUAAAAAAUAGUAUGUUACCCUCAUGGACUGAUCAAGGUACAGAAGGGAAGGGAAAAGUGGGUACGAGUUGUGACCAAGGGUACGACUAAAGUCUCUAGUCAUACCCAACUUAGAGACACCAAAAAGUUAAUGUUUUCUAAAAGUUCAAAGUCUAGGUAUUUCGAUUCUCUGCCACUUGCAUUCGUCCACGAAUGAAGGGUAAGGCAAGUAUAAACACAAGUUAAUACAUCAACAUAUAUCAACUUAACCUUUACAUAAGUUAGAAACAAGCACACAACAAGAAUGCAACAUAACACAUAUCAUGAUCAUCAUCAAUCAACUAUUUUAUUUCAUUGGUCUUGGAACUCAAACCUACUACUUAUCAAGCACUUACUCAUUUCACAACUUAGGGACUUCAACCCAUCGACUUUUAAAGAUUUAAAGAAGCUCAAAGAGUUAGGGACUUCAACCCACCACUUAUCAAUGACAUGAAUCAACUCAAGGUACUAGGGACUUAAAACCAUUACAACAAGACACACAUAGUUUCAAAGCAUUGGGGACUUGAAAUCAUGGUCUAACAAGACAUAACCAAUUCAAACUUGGCGACUUUAACCCAAGGCAUAACUUAAUUUCAAACAUUGGGGAAUUCAACCCAUCAUCUAUCAAAGAUAUAAAUAAAGCAAGGAGAUCUAUCAUAUACCUCCAUCACAAGCUUCUGGAAUAGCAAAUAAAUGCGGGUACUUGGACUUCAUGUCCUCUUCCGCCUCCCAAGUAGCUUCCUUGUACUUUUGGUUUCUCAAUAGAAUCUUCACUGAAGACACUUCUUUUAUUUGCAAUUGGAAAACUAGCCAAUUUAAUAUCCUCAUUGGGACUUCUUCAUAGGAUAAGGAGUCCGAGAUACCAAUAUCCGAGGGGACAACCAAGGAAGGAUCACCCAUACAUUUUAGUAAAAUAAAGACAUGGAAAAUCGGGUGAUUGGAGUUUAUACUAUAAGGCAAUUCUAACUCAUAAGCAAUAUUUUAAACCCUUUUUACAAUCAAAUAGGGACUAACAUAUGGGGGACUAAGCUUCCCUUUCUUACUGAACUACAUCACUCCCUUCAUGGGCGACACUUUUAAGAAUACCCAAUCAUCAACACAAAACUCUAAGUCCCAACGCCGCACAUCCGUAUAGGACUUUUGGUGACUUUGAGCGAUCGUUGAUCUAUCACAAAUCACCUUCACCUUCUCUAAGCCUUAGUGAACUAAGUCGGGCCUAAGCAACUUACCCUCGCCAACUUUGUACCACCCAAUAGGAGAUCGACAUCUCCUACCAUACAAUGCUUCAAAAGGUGUCAUGCAAAUUCUAGAGUGGUAACUACUAUAAUAGGCGAACUCAAUCAAAGGCAAGUGGUCAUACCAACUACCACCAUAAUUAAUCACACAAGCCCACAACAUAUCCUCCAAUGUUUAAAUAGUUCUCUUCUCUUUCCCAUCCAUUUGCAGGUGGAACGCGAUACUAAGUUACAUAUUAGUUCCCAAACCUCUUUGCAAUGACUUUUAAUAGUGGGAUAAAAAUGAAGGACCACGAUCCAAGGUAAUAGACACUGGAGUAUCGUACAUCCUCACGAUCUCAACAAGAUAUAACUUAGCAUAAUCAUCUGUGGAAUAAUUUGUCUCACGGGAAAGAAAUAAGAGGACUUGAUCAUUCUAUCAAUAAUGAACCAAAUGGAAUUACAUUGAUUUCGAGAUCUAGAAAGUUCGGUAACAAAAUCCAUAUUAAUUACCUCCCACUUCCACUCAGGCAACACAAUCUCUUGGUAUUGGCCACCGGGCCUCAAGUGCUCCACCUUUACUUGUUGGCACACCAUAUAGUUAGCCACAUGGCUAGUAACAUCAUGCUUCAUAUCAUUCUACCAAUAGAACUCUUUAAGGUCAUGAUACAUCUUGGUGGAACCGAGAUGAAUGAGCCUCGUCCAUGACUCUUUCUCUCAAUCCAUUGAUGUCAGGAAUACAUAGCCUACCUUGGUACCUCAAGAUACCAUCACCACCAAUCACAAAGUCCGUGACAUUAUGUUGACCCAUAUUACUCUAGAUCUUCAUCAAGUUGGGAUCCAAGAAUUGAUUCUCCUUUAUCUCAACAACAAGAGACGAUUGAGAUACCGGCUUCACAAAUGCACCACCAUCCUUAGAGUCCUUAAGUCGAACUCUAAGAUUAGCCAAACGGUGACAUCUCACACCAAUUCCCACUUAUCCAGAUCUAUAUGGGACAAACUUCCCAUGGACACAUGGCUAAGGGCAACGACAACUAUAUUUACCUUAUUGGGAUGGUAAUAAAGACUCAUAUCAUAGUCUUUCAAUAGCUCAAGCCACCUUCUUUGCUGGAGAUUUAAAUUCUUUUGAGUAAAUACAUAUUGGAGGCUCUUAUGAUUGAAAAAGAUGUCGACAGGAACAUCAUAAAGAUAUGCCAACAAAUUUUCAAUGCAAAGACCACGAAUAAUAACUCUAAGUCAUGGGUAGGGUGGUCCUUCUCAAGAAUUUUUAUUUCCUAAAAGCAUAGGACACCACUUUGCUAAUGUGUGAGCAGAUGCUAACAUAUUUGAGGCUUUUAAAUGAGAAUAAUUGCAAGGUCUUAAGCAAAUUUUGUCAUUUUUGAUUGUUUUAUCUUUGAUUUUGCAGUGGAAGCCAAGAUGCAAGAGAACCAACAAGGACGAAAGCAAAAGAGUUAAAAUCUAAAGCAAAUAGAAAAGAAGUGUGGCUGAAGACAUUCCUGAUAAGUCAUCAACCUUGUGAUAAGCUAUUAGAGUUGCCAUCAACCUUAAACAGAGAAUGGACCCCAGUUGAAAGUUGUGACAAUAUUUGGUGAUAGGCCGUCAUAAGUGUGAUAAGACAUCAGGUUUGUUGUUAGCCUAAGGUAGAACAUGAGAG
rnacentral:lncRNA from 1 species